UAUGGGAUGUUUUGCUGCAGCCUAGGGCAACUAGAAAUGGCCACGGAUGUUAACUAACUCCCUCCUCAACAGUCUGAGAAAAGGGAAAAAAAAACUGAAAAGCAAGCCAUGGCUCUAGAUAACAAUACUGACAUAAGUGAAGUACAGAGGACUGAGGAAGCAAAACCUGAGAAACAGAGUCUUCUGUUCUCUUCCAUGAAACUGUGGUGUGUUCUCUUCACUUUGGCCAAGUGCCCAGCUAAGAGAAUUCUCCCUCAAGAUGAGCAUGUUUCAGAGCGAACCCUUAACUGUUGGUUUCAAAAAGCCCAAACUUACAUUCUGUUUGGAGCUUUGGUGAAGUAGGUUGUACCCAUGAACCCUAGCAAAACAUGAAGAUUUCUCAUAAGAACACAAGAUAUGCUCUAGCAAUCAUCAAAUGGAACUUGAGUUUGUCUUUGUGUCAGACAAAGAAACAGCCCUUUCUGACUUAUGGAUAUGGCUGAAGGGGAAUACCUGAAAAGAGUGAUUUCUCUCCACAUCUGUCUUUAAGUCUUGAUAACAUUGUACCAUAUAAGGUCACUGACAAUGCAAAAUAUCACAAUACAGCACAGAACUAAUCAAAGCCUAAAAUUAUCCAAAUAAGCUAUUUAGAGAGAAUCCCAACAACUUCUUUGGAAUGUGAUAUUACCAAAAAUAUGAAUAAAGGGUAUUUUCUUAAGGAAAAAAAAGGGAUGUUCUCAUUAUUUGCAUGUAAUUUGCCACCUAGGAGUAGACUCUGGCUUCCCUUUCUGCUUAAAUUCUUCCACAGAGUCGGCUUGCCAGGUCUAUAACCAAGGUCUUUCUUUUAUCUAGACUAGAACAAAUAUUCCAUUUUGAGUCAUGAAAACAUAUCAGCAAAAUUCCCAGAGUUAAUACUUUUAUUUAAUUAUAUACAUAUAUUUAUUAUUUUUUUUAAAAGCUGUUCCACUAAGUUAAACUUUAACCAUAUUAAUCCAGGGGGAAAAAUCCCUGAUUGCCAACCAACAAUUUUGUAAACAGUUAUCUCAUGAGUUAAAUAUUAACUUGAAAAUUUUAACUCAAAACUC